ACUGAGAUACGGCCCAGACUCCUACGGGAGGCAGCAGUAGGGAAUUUUGCGCAAUGGGCGAAAGAUUGACGCAGCAACGCCGCGUGAAGGAUGAAGGUUUUCGGAUCGUAAACUUCUGUUAUGUGGGAAGAAAAGCUCGCAAGAGUAUGACCGUACCACUUGAGUAAGCACCGGCUAACUACGUGCCAGCAGCCGCGGUAAUACGUAGGGUGCAAGCGUUGUUCGGAAUUACUGGGCGUAAAGGGAGUGUAGGCGGAAUUAUAAGUUAGAAGUUUAAUUUACGGGCUCAACCCGUGAACUGCUUUUAAUACUGUAGUUCUUGAGUAUGGGAGAGGGUGAUGGAAUUCCAGGUGUAGCGGUGGAAUGCGUAGAUAUCUGGAAGAACACCAGUUGCGAAGGCGGUCGCCUGGCCCAAUACUGACGCUGAUGCUCGAAAGCUAGGGGAGCGAACAGGAUUAGAUACCCUGGUAGUCCUAGCCGUAAACGAUGGACACUAGUUGCUGGAGGAGUCAAUCUUUUCAGUGACGAAGCUAACGCAUUAAGUGUCCCGCCUGGGAAGUACGCCCGCAAGGGUGAAACUCAAAGGAAUUGACGGGGGCCCGCACAAGCGGUGGAGUAUGUGCUUUAAUUCGAUGCAACGCGAAGAACCUUACCUGGGUUUGACAUGGGGGUGAAAGUUUCCAGAGAUGGAUUCCUUUCCGCAAGGAACACCCUACACAGGUGCUGCAUGGUUGUCGUCAGCUCGUGUCGUGAGUUGUUGGGUUAAGUCCCGCAACGAGCGCAACCCUCGCCCUUAGUUGCCAUCAGGUUAUGCUGGGAACUCUAAGGGGACCGCCUAGUUUAACUAGGAGGAAGGUGGGGAUGACGUCAAAUCAUCAUGGCCCUUACGCCCAGGGCUAGACACGUACUACAAUGGUCGGUACAGCGGGAUGCAAGACGUUGACGUUAAGCUAAUCCCUUGAAACCGAUCUCAGUCCGGAUUGAAGUCUGCAAUUCGACUUCAUGAAGUUGGAAUCGCUAGUAAUCGCGGAUCAGCAUGCCGCGGUGAAUACGUUCCCGGGCCUUGUACACACCGCCCGUCAAGCCAUGAAAGAUGGCAGUACCCGAAGUCGCUUCUCAAACCGCAAGGAUGAGUGCGCCUAAGGUAAGGCUGUUAAUUGGGGCUAAGUCGUAACAAGGUAGCUGUAUCGGGAGGUGCGGCUG
rnacentral:rRNA from 1 species